AGUUUUAGCUGAUGGCUGUGGGCUCUGCUGGCAGGGGAGUGAACAGUCUUUCCAAAAGAAAAUUUUAGGAUAACUUCAAACUCCCUCAAGAAGAGGUUGAUUCUAGUCUUCAUCUGUUUUGUAGAGAUGGGAGGAAAAGAAGCAAGCAGUGCGUAGUUAAAAAACAUUUAAAUAACAGUAAAAAUGAUUAUACAGAGGAUAUAAUUGUAGGGACUUUGUUAUUUGGCAGUAUUUUGGGCAGAAAGAACUAUAUAGCAGAAGUUCUGCCUUGGUCCUUUUGUUUUGAAGGGCUGACCGAUCAAAGCUUGCUGAAGCUGGGGUAAGGGUUUCAUUAGCCUUGGAUCAGGCCCUCAGCACUGGAUACUCUGGUUGCUUGAAAAUAGGUAAUUAAUAGUGCUUUAUUUUUCAUGUUUCCAAGGCAGCACUGAGACACUGUUUUCCAGUACAUGACCAGAAUCUUUUGGCUGCAGCAGAAGAGUUCCCCUCUGUCUCGUAUGAAGCUGCUGUAAAGCUGAUGGAACAGGUCAUUGCUUGUGUUCCAGCAUAAAACUGAAAGAUCCUCUAAAAAUGAAAUCCCCCAGGAGAUUAAUCCCAAUGAAUGCCUUUCCUUCCUGUCAAUAUUCUAUCUAAAUUAAUGGGCAUGGCAUUUGCCGAUGCCUUGAUGUUCUCCUGCCCAAGGGGAAUUAAUCGCCAAGAUGGAAUGAAGAGCACAGCGCGGAGAACAGCACAGUCCAGAUCUCACAAGACUUACUAUGCUUUUGAAGGCAAAUGAAAAUGUAUCAUCACAACACUGAAUUAAGAGUCAGGGAAAAUAGCAUUAGAAAGAAGCUGGAUACACUGAAGAUACUCAAGACGGAUGGACCAGAACCUCUUGCAUCCAUACCUGUGACAAAGGAAAAAGUAAGUACUGAAUUCCUGCAAAGACAAGCUGUGACAGCUGCUGGGUGUCAACUGCACAUUUAGUAAUGAUUCACUACACUAAGGCAGAGAUGCAUCUGUACUAUGGCCAGUAUAG